CAAAAGCUGAAGAGAUCUCAUGAAGGCGAAAAUUCAACUGUUUGUAGAUUAAUCAAGGUGACAAAAACACCAAGUUUUAUUUUAAAUAGGCAAAUGCACAUAAGAGAUUUAAUUGUAUUGUUAAAAUGAUGAUUGACGGGGAGUUGCCGGAUGAUGAGGAAAUCAUAAAGGAAUAGAUUCAAGAUUUUUGUCAAAAUCUAUUUAGGGAG
rnacentral:lncRNA from 1 species